CGCACGGGUGAGUAACACGUAUCCAACCUGCCGUCUACUCUUGGACAGCCUUCUGAAAGGAAGAUUAAUACAAGAUGGCAUCAUGAGUCCGCAUGUUCACAUGAUUAAAGGUAUUCCGGUAGACGAUGGGGAUGCGUUCCAUUAGAUAGUAGGCGGGGUAACGGCCCACCUAGUCUUCGAUGGAUAGGGGUUCUGAGAGGAAGGUCCCCCACAUUGGAGCUGAGACACGGUCCAAACUCCUACGGAAGGCAGCAG
rnacentral:rRNA from 1 species